rnacentral:lncRNA from 1 species
GGUAAGUCAAGACCUGAUACUACGUCAAAGUAAGUACUUUGGUAUAUUGAUUUGUUUGCUCCUGUGAUGCACACAUAUAGUAUCAGUAAUUAAAUAGGCAAAUGAAACUGUUGGAACUGCAUUUAGAAAUGUAAGCUUGUUUGCAGGAGUGCUAUAUUGUAGUAACAUCGCUGUUUCUAUUCUUGAUAAAAACUGAAAUGAGUUUAUCCAAUUUCAGACUUGCUCAUACAAAUAGAGUAAUGGUUGUG